AAAGAAACCAACAGGGAUUGCCUCAGUAACGGCGAGUGAAGCGGCAAGAGCUCAAAUUUGAAAUCUGGCCCCCUCGGGGUCCGAGUUGUAAUUUGCAGAGGAUGCUUCGGAUACGGCCCCCGUCUAAGUGCCCUGGAAGGGGCCGUCGGAGAGGGUGAGAAUCCCGUCUGGGACGGGGUGUCCGUGUCCGUGUGAAGCUCCUUCGACGAGUCGAGUUGUUUGGGAAUGCAGCUCUAAAUGGGUGGUAAAUUUCAUCUAAAGCUAAAUAUUGGCCGGAGACCGAUAGCGCACAAGUAGAGUGAUCGAAAGAUGAAAAGCACUUUGAAAAGAGAGUUAAACAGCACGUGAAAUUGUUGAAAGGGAAGCGCUUGCGACCAGACUCGCCCGCGGGGUUCAGCCGGCAUUCGUGCCGGUGUACUUCCCCGUGGGCGGGCCAGCGUCGGUUUGGGCGGCCGGUCAAAGGCCUCCGGAAUGUAUCGCCCCUCCGGGGGCGUCUUAUAGCCGGAGGUGCAAUGCGGCCUGCCUGGACCGAGGAACGCGCUUCGGCACGGACGCUGGCAUAAUGGUCGUAAGCGAC
rnacentral:rRNA from 1 species